rnacentral:rRNA from 1 species
GGUCUGGAAAGUCCGACGGUACAGGGUGAUAGUCCCGUACACCAAAAUGCACAGGUUGUGAACUCGAAGAGUAGGGCGGGACACGUGGUAUCCUGUCUGAAUAUGGGGGGACCAUCCUCCAAGGCUAAAUACUCCUGACUGACCGAUAGUGAACCAGUACCGUGAGGGAAAGGCGAAAAGAACCCCGGCGAGGGGGGGAGAAAAGAACCUG